rnacentral:rRNA from 1 species
UACAGAGGUCCCGAGCGUUGUUCGGAUUCACUGGGCGUAAAGGGUGCGUAGGUGGUGAGGUAAGUCGGAUGUGAAAUCUCCGAGCUCAACUCGGAAAUGGCAUUGGAAACUACCUUGCUCGAGGGUUGGAGGGGGGACUGGAAUACUUGGUGUAGCGGUGAAAUGCGCAGAUAUCAGGAAGAACACCCGUGGCUAAGGCGGCUCUCUAGUACGGUACUGACGCUGAGACGCGAAAGCGUGGGGAGCGAACAGG